rnacentral:rRNA from 1 species
GACGAACGCUGGCGGCGUGCCUAAUACAUGCAAGUCGAACGCAGUGGGGACGGGUGAGUAACACGUGGGUAACCUCCCAUCAGAGGGGAUAACCCUUGGCAACAGGUGCUAAACCGAUACUGAUGGAUGGACCCGCGGUGCAUUAGCCUGUUGGUGAGGUAACGGCUCACCAAGGCCACGAGGCAUAGCCGACCUGAGAGGGGGAUCGGCCACACUGGGACUGAGACACGGCCCAGACUCCUACGGGAGGCAGCAGUAGGGAAUCUUCGGCAAUGGACGAAAGUCUGACCCAGCAACGCCGCGUGAGUGAAGAAGGUUUUCGGAGCGUAAAACUCUGUUGUUAGAGAAGCGGUAUCUAAACAGAAAGCAACGGCUAACUACGUGCCAGCAGCCGCGGUAAUAC